rnacentral:pre_miRNA from 1 species
AAAAAGACAAACCCUGGUUUCUGUGCCCAACGUUUGACCGUCUGUUUUAUUUGAAAAAGUUAUGAAAAAAAUUAAAAAGACAAGUCAUGCAUAAAAUAUUAAUCAUGUUUUAUCAUCUAACAACAAUAAAAAUACGAAUUAUAAAAAAAAUUCAUAUAAGACGGACAAUCAAAGUUAGACACGGAAAUCCAGGGUUUGCCUUUUU